rnacentral:sRNA from 1 species
CCGGGCGCUUUCGACCUGUCCAUUGUGGAAGGUCAGUAAAUUCUCGCUGAUUUCAGGAGCUUUUUAUUAUGCGUA